rnacentral:rRNA from 1 species
AACGAACGCUGGCGGCAUGCCUAACACAUGCAAGUCGAACGAGACCUUCGGGUCUAGUGGCGCACGGGUGCGUAACGCGCGGGAACCUGCCCUUAGGUUCGGAAUAACUCCCCGAAAGGGGUGCUAAUACCGGAUAAUGUCUUCGGACCAAAGAUUUAUCGCCUUUGGAUGGGCCCGCGUUGGAUUAGCUAGUUGGUAGGGUAAAAGCCUACCAAGGCGACGAUCCAUAGCUGGUCUGAGAGGAUGAUCAGCCACACUGGGACUGAGACACGGCCCAGACUCCUACGCGAGGCAGCAGUGGGGAAUAUUGGACAAUGGGCGAAAGCCUGAUCCAGCAAGGCCGCGUGAGUGAUGAAGGCCUUAGGGUUGUAAAGCUCUUUUACCCGGGAUGAUAAUGACAGUACCGGGAGAAUAAGCACCGGCUAACUCCGUG